GUCGAGAAUUUUGGGCAAUGGACGAAAGUCUGACCCAGCAAUGCCGCGUGCGGGAUGAAGGUCUUCGGAUUGUAAACCGCUGUCGAGGGGGUCGAAAAAUGACGGUACCCCUGGAGGAAGCCACGGCUAACUACGUGCCAGCAGCCGCGGUAAUACGUAGGUGGCGAGCGUUGUUCGGAGUUAUUGGGCGUAAAGGGUCCGCAGGGGGUUGAUUAAGUCUGACGUGAAAUCUCUGAGCUCAACUCAGAAAUUGCGUUGGAGACUGGUUGACUAGAGUGUUGGAGAGGUAAUUGGAAUUCCAGGUGUAGCGGUGGAAUGCGUAGAUAUCUGGAAGAACAUCGAAAGCGAAGGCAGAUUACUGGACAACAACUGACCCUCAGGGACGAAAGCAUGGGGAGCAAACAGGAUUAGAUACCCUAGUAGUCC
rnacentral:rRNA from 1 species